UCUUCCCUCUGGCGGCGUGCUUAGCACAUGCAAGUCGAACGAUGAAGCCCAGCUUGCUGGGUGGAUUAGUGGCGAACGGGUGAGUAACACGUGAGUAACCUGCCCUUGACUCUGGGAUAAGCCUGGGAAACUGGGUCUAAUACUGGAUAUGACUUCUCAUCGCAUGGUGGGGGGUGGAAAGAUUUAUUGGUCUUGGAUGGACUCGCGGCCUAUCAGCUUGUUGGUGAGGUAAUGGCUCACCAAGGCGACGACGGGUAGCCGGCCUGAGAGGGUGACCGGCCACACUGGGACUGAGACACGGCCCAGACUCCUACGGGAGGCAGCAGUGGGGAAUAUUGCACAAUGGGCGCAAGCCUGAUGCAGCGACGCCGCGUGAGGGAUGACGGCCUUCGGGUUGUAAACCUCUUUCAGUAGGGAAGAAGCGAGAGUGACGGUACCUGCAGAAGAAGCGCCGGCUAACUACGUG
rnacentral:rRNA from 1 species